GCCAGUGUGAUGUAGUGGUUUGAGUGCUGGACUAGGACUUGGGAGACCAGGUUCAAAUCCUGACUUGGCCA